rnacentral:tRNA from 2 species
UUACUAAGCGGUGUUAGGCACAAAGGGGUUUGAUUCCUUAGGGAAGACUGUUUCUUCUAGUAAA